rnacentral:sRNA from 1 species
GCCUAGGUAAACUAUGAGGCUAUUUCCCUUUAUCUUGGCACAAGAGUCAGUUAUUCUACAACUUUCUUCCUUCUCCUCUUCAGCCUUCUUCACCUAUACUCCUGUCUUUGGCUUUUCUCUACUUAAUAAGCCUGACGUUAGGAGCAUUUGAUGAUUUUAGUUAUAGUAGAAUAACUGUAAUGAAGCAGUUUGAUUUGUGGUUUUUUUUCAGCCUAUGGGUUAUGGGCCUCGUAUGCAACAGCCUUCCAACCAGGGCCAGUUCCUUCCUCAGACUCAGUUCCCAUCACAGGGAAUGAAUGUAACAAAUAUCCCUUUGGCUCCGUCCAGCGGUCAAGCUCCAGUGUCUCAAGCACAAAUGUCUAGUUCUUCCUGCCCGGUGAACUCUCCUAUAAUGCCUCCAGGGUCUCAGGGGAGCCACAUUCACUGUCCCCAGCUUCCUCAACCAGCUCUGCAUCAGAAUUCACCCUCGCCUGUACCUAG